UCGUCGGUAGCCGCUGGGCAACCACAGUACUGUCUUCCCCUUGGCCGUGGUAACAGUUGGGCAGGAAUUUUCACGAAUUUGUGACAAUUCUUGAGGUUUUUCGAAUUUAGUAUGUUAUUGCCAUGGUGAUAUGUGCUAUAUAUGGAUGCUGGACCACAGAAAGGGACAAUGUUGGACGUAGAAAAGUUAGCUUCUAUCAUUUCCCCUAAGAUCUCGAAUGUGUAGGAAGUGGGUGAACUUCUGCAGAAGUGACCAUACAGCUUAAACACCAAUAGGUAACGCAAGUAUGUGACCUGCUCCUUUUCAAGAAUGCGAUUGUACAAGAAACCUCAGGCAUGAAUUGCAUAAUUGCUGCCCUGGAAAUGCAUGAACAUCGAAGGAUGGUGCCAUACCGAACCAACGUUUACCUCUGCAUGAUAGUGCCAUUGUUGAGCAAGGUGGGCUCAAUUAAAGUCCCUGGUAUUGUCGAGGCUACAAGCACUGGCCAACUUUGAUCACUUUGGAUGAUUUGCCUUUGGAGGCCUCUUGGCUUUAUAGUCUGUUUACUGACAAUAAGGGUUGUCAGCUGAAGAUUUUAAGAAAGCAAGCAAGCCAGUGUGAGAUAAUAUUUCACGUUAUUCACCGUCUGAAAUUCUAAUAC